GACGAACGCUGGCGGCGUGCUUAACACAUGCAAGUCGAACGGUGAAGCGAGUUCUUGCACUCGUGGAUCAGUGGCGAACGGGUGAGUAACACGUGAGUAACCUGCCCAUCACUCUGGGAUAAGCACUGGAAACGGUGUCUAAUACUGGAUACGACCAACCCUUGCAUGGGGUGUUGGUGGAAAGAUUUAUCGGUGAUGGAUGGACUCGCGGCCUAUCAGCUUGUUGGCGGGGUAAUGGCCCACCAAGGCGACGACGGGUAGCCGGCCUGAGAGGGUGACCGGCCACACUGGGACUGAGACACGGCCCAGACUCCUACGGGAGGCAGCAGUGGGGAAUAUUGCACAAUGGGCGAAAGCCUGAUGCAGCGACGCCGCGUGAGGGAUGACGGCCUUCGGGUUGUAAACCUCUUUCAGCAGGGAAGAAGCGAAAGUGACGGUACCUGCAGAAGAAGCACCGGCUAACUACGUG
rnacentral:rRNA from 1 species